ACGGGACACCUGCAUCUGCCAACAAGACUGGAAGCAGAAAGGGACAGAGACGGCGAAGUUUGACGGUCUGGAAAGCAGAGACCAGCAGGGCUGACUGCUUGGGAGCACCAAAUAUCCGGACAGCGCCUCUCGGGAGGUCCGAGAAGAGAACCGCGAUCUGUUUCAGCACCGGGGCUCAGGACAGUUCCCAGCGGGCUCCGUUUCGUCUCCAGAACCCUGGACAGCUCCUCCAGUAGAGACGGGGUUUCACCAUGUUGGCCAGGCUGGUCUCAAACUCUUGACCUCUUCAUCCGUCCACCUCAGCCUCCCAAAGUGCUAGGAUUACAGGCGUGAGUCACUGCGCCUGGCCCAAGUCCGGAAUUUUCAACAGGACAUGGGUGUUACUGUGCCCAUGUGACAUUUGGGGAACCCAAGGCCCUGAGAAAGGCAGAAAAAUAACCCACGCAGGGACUCUCAGCCCACAAGUGAAGCUGAGAACCGGGAAUGGAAAACAGGGAGGCAGCACAGAGGCAGGAAACUCAGGUGUCAUAGCUUGGCUCAGCCUCAGGGCUUUUGCCUCUGCUGUUCCUGCAGCUUGGAAUGCACUCCCUCCACCUCCAACCAGAGCUCCCCACAACUGACCCUGCCUUCUUCUGCAAGCUCCAUUUCAUCAAGGGAAACGAUCCUUAUUGCCUCACCAUUUCCCACGUGAAGUCUGUAUUGACAUUCUCAUAGACCUGGGAUAUUGUGUCUGCAGCACAUAGUCCAAUUAUUUUCAUGUUAUCUACUGACAGGUCUAUUUGUCUCCCUGUUACACUGUGAGCUCCGUGAGGGCAGAAACAAUGUUAGUAUUUUCACUGCUGUGUCCCCAGCGCCUGGUCCGGGGCCCGGCACACAGCAGGCAUAUAAUAAGCAUGUGUUGAAUCAAUAAAGGCAUCAAAGAAUAAACCAAUACAUCAAUCAAUAAA
rnacentral:lncRNA from 1 species